rnacentral:rRNA from 1 species
GACGUAGGAUGCAAGCGUUAUCCGGAAUUAUUGGGCGUAAAGCGUACGUAGGCGGUUUCUUAAGUCUGGAGUUAAAGACCGAGGCUCAACCUCGGGAGUGCUCUGGAAACUGGGAGACUGGAGGACGGCAGAGGAAAGUGGAAUUCCCAGUGUAGCGGUGAAAUGCGUAGAUAUUGGGAGGAACACCAGUGGCGAAAGCGACUUUCUGGGCCGUUCCUGACGCUGAGGUACGAAAGCCAGGGGAGCAAACGGG